UACGUAGGGUGCGAGCGUUAAUCGGAAUUACUGGGCGUAAAGCGUGCGCAGGCGGUUUUGUAAGCCAGAUGUGAAAUCCCCGGGCUUAACCUGGGAAUGGCAUUUGGGACUGCAAGGCUGGAGUGCGGCAGAGGAGACUGGAAUUCCUGGUGUAGCAGUGAAAUGCGUAGAUAUCAGGAGGAAUACCGAUGGCGAAGGCAGCCCCCUGGGCCAACACUGACGCUCAUGCACGACAGCGUGGGGAGCAAACAGG
rnacentral:rRNA from 1 species